GCCUACGGGACGCAGCAGUGAGGAAUAUUGGUCAAUGGUCGGGAGACUGAACCAGCCAAGCCGCGUGAGGGAUGAAGGUACAGAGUAUCGUAAACCUCUUUUGUCAGGGAACAAAGGCGGGGACGUGUCCCCGGAUGAGUGUACCUGAAGAAAAAGCAUCGGCUAACUCCGUGCCAGCAGCCGCGGUAAUACGGAGGAUGCGAGCGUUAUCCGGAUUUAUUGGGUUUAAAGGGUGCGCAGGCGGUCUGUUAAGUCAGCGGUCAAAGCCCGGGGCUCGACCCCGGCCCGCCGUUGAAACUGGCAGG
rnacentral:rRNA from 1 species